UUACGAGGUCAGGACACUGUGAGGAUUGACAGAUUGAAAGCUCUUUCUUGAUUCAGUGGGUGGUGGUGCAUGGCCGUUCUUAGUUGGUGGAGUGAUUUGUCUGGUUAACUCCGUUAACGAACGAGACCUUAACCUGCUAAAUAGUCACGCGAACCGGUCCGCAAGGGCUCAAAGUUCGCGGCUCGACUUCUUAGAGGGACUAUUCGCACCCGCCAGCGAAUGGAAGUUUGAGGCAAUAACAGGUCUGUGAUGCCCUUAGAUGUUCUCGGCCGCACGCGCGUUACACUGACGGAGUCAACGAGCGUUUUUCCUUGCCCGAUAGGGUUGGGUAACCUCCUGAAACUCCGUCGUGAUGGGGAUAGAUCAUUGCAAUUAUUGAUCUUGAACGAGGAAUUCCUAGUAGGCGCGAGUCAUCAACUCGCGCCGAUUACGUCCCUGCCCUUUGUACACACCGCCCGUCGCUCCUACCGAUUGAACGGUCGCGGCGAGAACUCCGGAUGGUC
rnacentral:rRNA from 1 species